GCUGUUUUUUAUCCAACGUUACAACACAAAAAAAAAACAGCGGGUUAGUAGUACCCAGAGUCCUUGUAAUUCCAUUUUAGUGAACGCUGUCUAUAAACUUACGCCUUUAUAUCGAUAUAAUUAUGCUCAAUUAAAAUUCUCGACAUUAUCAGUGUAACUUGAGUGCAAGACUAUUGUGAGGCAUCACGUUUUUCUAGCCUGUCUCAAAAGUCCAAAAUAGUACAUAGUUAUCUAGAAAAUAAAAAUAAUUGAUAGUGACUUAACCCUACAAAGUUAUGAAUGCUUACAUUAGUGAAUUUGUGGUUUUAAUUUAUUGGCGUGCACAAUCUUAUGACCGGCAUUCAGUUUUAUCUUAUAGUUAAUUUGAUCAUAAUCCUCUAUAAUUAAAAAUGGACCUAUAUAAAGUUUAUCGAACUUGUUCUUGCGUGGCUCUUUCAAUUUUCUGCUGCUUUUGUUUGAGUAUAACUCAAACGUUGAAGAAGAUUGUCAACCAGAUCAUUAUAAGUAGUGGGAAUGUUCUGUUUUGCAAAUGAGG